rnacentral:tRNA from 1 species
UAGCUCAGUUGGUAGAGCAGCUCCCUUUUAAGGAGAUGGUCGUAGGUUCGACUCCUAC